rnacentral:rRNA from 1 species
ACGGGGGGUGCAAGCGUUGUUCGGAAUUAUUGGGCGUAAAGAGCGUGUAGGCGGCUUGAUAAGUCAGAUGUGAAAGCCCUGGGCUUAACCCAGGAAGUGCAUUUGAAACUGUCUCGCUAGAAUAAGGGAGGGGGAAGUGGAAUUCCUGGUGUAGAGGUGGAAUUCGUAGAUAUCAGGAGGAACACCGGUGGCGAAGGCGACUUCCUGGCCCUAUAUUGACGCUGAGACGCGAGAGCGUGGGUAGCAAACAGGAUUAGAUACCCUGGUAGUCCACGCCGUAAACGAUGUUCACUAGGUGUUGGGGGUAUUGACCCCCUCAGUGCCGGAGCUAACGCAUUAAGUGAACCGCCUGGGGAGUACGGUCGCAAGACUA